CCUUCCGUAGGGUGAACCUGCGGAAGGAUCAUUAGUGAAUAUAGGACGUCCAACUUAACUUGGAGUCCGAACUCUCACUUUCUAACCCUGUGCACUUGUUUGGGAUAGUAACUCUCGCAAGAGAGCGAACUCCUAUUCACUUAUAAACACAAAGUCUAUGAAUGUAUUAAAUUUUAUAACAAAAUAAAACUUUCAACAACGGAUCUCUUGGCUCUCGCAUCGAUGAAGAACGCAGCGAAAUGCGAUAAGUAAUGUGAAUUGCAGAAUUCGGUGAAUCAUCGAAUCUUUGAACGCACCUUGCGCUCCAUGGUAUUCCGUGGAGCAUGCCUGUUUGAGUGUCAUGAAUACUUCAACCCUCCUCUUUCUUAAUGAUUGAAGAGGUGUUUGGUUUCUGAGCGCUGCUGGCCUUUACGGUCUAGCUCGUUCGUAAUGCAUUAGCAUCCGCAAUCGAACUUCGGAUUGACUUGGCGUAAUAGACUAUUCGCUGAGGAAUUCUAGUCUUCGGAUUAGAGCCGGGUUGGGUUAAAGGAAGCUUCUAAUCAGAAUGUCUACAUUUUAAGAUCAGAUCUCAAAUCAGGUAGGACUACCCGCUGAACUUAAGCAUAUCAAUAAGCGGAGGAA
rnacentral:rRNA from 1 species